rnacentral:rRNA from 1 species
CAUAGCGACUAUCGUGGCAUAUCAAUAAGCGGAGGAAAAGAAACUAACUAGGAUUCCCUUAGUAACGGCGAGUGAAGCGGGAAGAGCUCAAAUUUGAAAUCUUCAAGGUUCUACCUUGACGAAUUGUAGUUUAAAGAAGUGUUUUCUGUUGGAGUUUUGGUAAAAGUUCUUUGGAAUAGGACAUCAUAGAGGGUGAGAAUCCCGUAUUUGACCAUUAUUUCCAGCUGUGUGAUACACUUUCAAAGAGUCGGAUUGUUUGGGAAUGCAGUCCAAAAUGGGUGGUAAAUUUCAUCUAAAGCUAAAUAUUGGCGAGAGACCGAUAGCGAACAAGUACCGUGAGGGAAAGAUGAAAAGAACUUUGAAAAGAGAGUUAAACAGUACGUGAAAUUGUCAAAAGGGAAGCGUUUGACACCAGUGUUGUUUUCUCGAAAAUCAAUUAAAAAUGGCCGGAUUUUGUGUUGUAUUGACUUUAUCAGCUUUCUGCACUUUUUUCUUGUCUUUUUUAAUGCACUUUUCGUUUAACAAGUCAACAUCAAUUUCUUUUGUUGUAAAAGAGUCAUUGGAAGGUGGCUUUCAUUUCGGUGAAAGUGUUUAUAGCCUUUGACUUCUGCAAUCGGAGAGAUUGAGGUCUGCAGCGUAGAUCCUUCGGGGUUAGAUACAUAUGUGCUAAGCUAUAGCCUUUUCAUAGACAACAUUGUUGACUAUGAUCAGUCAUGUAGCUUACUCGCUUAUGCUAUUUUACCUACGCUUAGGAUGUUGAAGAUAUGCGCGACACG